rnacentral:rRNA from 1 species
GCGAGCAAGGUGUUGCGUAUCCUUUUUGGAUCUGCAGUGUCGAAAUGAAGAUGUUAAGCUCGCCGCCUGGGAAGUAUAAUCGCAAGAUCGAAACUUAAAGGAAUUGGCGGGGGAGCACCACAAGGGGUGCGGCGUGCGGUUUAAUCUAAUUCAACGCAGAAAAUCUCACCAGAAGCGACGGCAGGAUGAAGGUCAGGUUAAAGGCCUUAACAGACAAGCCGAGAGGUAGUGCAUGGCCGUCGUCAGCUCGUGCCGUAAGGUGUCCUGUUAAGUCAGGCAACGAGCGAGACCUGUACCUACAAUUGCUAGCAACUUUUAGGAUUGAGCACAUUGUGGGGACUGCCUGGGAAACCAGGAGGAAGGCGCAGGCUACGAUAGGUCUGUAUGCUCCGAAUCUUCUGGGCUACACGCGCGCAACAAUGGUAAGGACAAUGGGAUACAACUCCGGAAGGAGAAGUUAAACCUCUAAACCUUAUCUUAGUUCAGAUUGAGGACUGUAAUUUGUCCUCAUGACGCUGGAAUCCCUAGUAAUCGGACGUCAACAUCGUCCGGUGAAUAUGUCCCUGCUCCUUGCACACACCGCCCGUCAAACCAUCCGAGCAGGGUUUAGGUGAGAAUCAGCUUCAAGCUAAUUCGAAUCUAAACUCAGUGAGGCGGGUUAAGUCGUCACAAGGUAGCCGUAGGGGAACCUGCGGCUGGAUCACCUCCU